UACACUCCUGCGGGAGGCAGCAGUGGGGAAUAUUGGACAAUGGGCGCAAGCCUGAUCCAGCCAUGCCGCGUGAGUGAUGAAGGCCCUAGGGUUGUAAAGCUCUUUCACCGGUGAAGAUAAUGACGGUAACCGGAGAAGAAGCCCCGGCUAACUUCGUGCCAGCAGCCGCGGUAAUACGAAGGGGGCUAGCGUUGUUCGGAUUUACUGGGCGUAAAGCGCACGUAGGCGGACUAUUAAGUCAGGGGUGAAAUCCCGGGGCUCAACCCCGGAACUGCCUUUGAUACUGGUAGUCUUGAGUUCGAGAGAGGUGAGUGGAAUUCCGAGUGUAGAGGUGAAAUUCGUAGAUAUUCGGAGGAACACCAGUGGCGAAGGCGGCUCACUGGCUCGAUACUGACGCUGAGGUGCGAAAGCGUGGGGAGCAAACAGGAUUAGAUACCCGUGUAGUCCCAUG
rnacentral:rRNA from 1 species